UACAGAGGGUGCGAGCGUUGUUCGGAAUUAUUGGGCGUAAAGGGCGCGUAGGCGGUGCGGUAAGUCACCUGUGAAAUCUCCUGGCUCAACUGGGAGCUUGCAGGCGAAACUGCCGUGCUGGAGUGUGGGAGAGGUGCGUGGAAUUCCUGGUGUAGCGGUGAAAUGCGCAGAUAUCAGGAGGAACACCUGUGGCGAAAGCGGCGCACUGGACCAUAACUGACGCUGAGGCGCGAAAGCUAGGGGAGCAAACAGG
rnacentral:rRNA from 1 species